CAGCACCAUGACGCGAGGAGAAAGGGGAAGAGGCUAGAGAGAGAGAGAGAGAGAGAGAGAGAGAGAGUAUCAUCUCUAGAAUUCUAAUCAUCCAUUUAAAGAAUUACACUUGAUUGUUUAGAUUCUUGCGAGUGGCGUGAAAAAUUUGACGCUGAUUCUGUGUAUUUUCCGGCAUUAUGACUCUUCUCCAUCGAUUUUUGGCAAUUUUAUCUAACGAUCAUUUGUUGAUGAACGAUGGCCUCGUACGUUGUGGAAUAGUAAGCCAUAUGGUUGUGUUCAUGAGUUUCUUUGGAGGAGUACGGGUGUGGUUUGUUUAUUGCCGCUUGUUAGAGUAGUAUGACAAUUAUCAAUGAAGAUACUCUACAAAGAUUGAAUAAAAGAAUAGACAAAAUUAAGAAAUAACACGCAAAUUUGAAAGGUAGGGAAAAUCCUAAUAUCAUUGUGAUAUAUUAGACUAUAAAACUCCACCCAAAACAAUUGAAUGAAUCUUAUUGGUUGAGAGUUUCUUGAUUACAUUGUAUAAUCCAAACUCUAAUUGAAAAACUCCCCAUAGUAUGUUCUAUGAAGAAUAGAAGAAACCCCAAAAUCCUCUCGCUAGAAACCCUAAUUUUAUUGUGGCACUUAGACUCUUAAUUCCCAAUUGAUUUGAUUAAUAUGAUCUUCCUUAACUAUAUACGGCUUUUUAACAAGAGAAAAAAAAAUGAUAUGCUAUUUGAAAUAUAACAUCUCGCGCUUAAAAACACAAGCCUUGACAUAUUUGCUUGAUUUGGUUGAGCGGUUUAAGUGAGGUCAAGCAGCUGGUCGAGCGAGAGAUCAGAAGAGAUCAGUAGCUUAACCAUUUUUGGUCAAGCGCCUUAACCUGGUCAACAUAUCUGCUGGAUUGUCACUUGUAUAAACCUUAUCCAAGAUCACCUUUUCCCUUUAAAUGGUGUCUCUAAUGUAGUGAAGCUUUAUCCAAGAUCACCUUCCAUAGACAUGGAUGAAGGCCGAGGAUCUGAUGUCGCUUGACCUAUGGCUCGAUCAAGUCAAGGCGCUCGACCAGGUCGACCAGAAAUGGUGAAGCUACUAAUCUCUUUUGAUCUCUGACUCACCAGCCGCUUGACCUCACUCAAAUCGCUCGACUGGGUCGAGCAGAUAUGUCGAGGCAUCUGUUUUUAUGCAUGGGCUAUUAUAUUUCAAAUAGCGUAUCAUUUCUGUUUUCUCUUGUUCCAAAGCCUAUAAAAAGGUUAUUGUGUAUCAUUCGUAUAGUUAAGGAAGAUCUUAUUGAUCAAAACAAUUGUGACUUAGGAGUCUGAGUGCCACAAUAAAAUUAGGGUUUUUAGUGAGAGGAUUUUGGGGUUUUCUUCUAUCCUUCAUAAAAGAUACGAAGUAGGGUUUUUCAAUUAGAGUUUGGAUUAUACACUGUAAUCAAGAAACUGAAUUAUUAAGAUUCAUUCAAUUGUUAUGGGUGGGGUUUUAUAGACUAAUAUCACAUAGAUAUUAGGAUUUUCCUCACCUUCCAAACUUGUGUGUUCUUUCUUAGUUUUGCAUAUUCUUUUAUUCAAUCUUUGUAGAGUAUCUUCGUUGAUAAUUUCCAUACUACUCUAACACAGCUCCCCCUAGACCCUGCUACUAUACGGAAUCAGGUAUGAUAGUAUGUUAUGGCAUGGUAUCUCUACCUUCUCGUUGAAAUACAUAGGCAGACUCAAUUUCUUUCUUCAACUUAUUUACACAUUUCUUUCAUCUA